rnacentral:rRNA from 1 species
CGGCAGCCGCGGUAAUACAGAGGGUGCAAGCGUUAAUCGGAUUUACUGGGCGUAAAGGGCGCGUAGGUGGUUAUUUAAGUGAGAUGUGAAAGCCCCGGGCUUAACCUGGGAACUGCAUCUUAUACUGGGUAACUGGAGUGCAGUAGAGGGUAGUGGAAUUUCCGGUGUAGCGGUGAAAUGCGUAGAUAUCGGAAGGAACACCUGAGGCGAAAGCGGCUCACUGGACCAUAACUGACGCUGAGGCGCGAAAGCUAGGGGAGCAAACAGGAUUAGAUACCCCAGUAGUCCCUGUCUCUUAUAC